GACGGGGACCCGCACAAGUGGUGGAGCAUGUUGUUUAAUUCGACGAUACACGUAGAACCUUACCUAGACUUGACAUCCUUGGCGAAGUUAUAGAAAUAUAAUGGAGGUUAACCGAGAGACAGGUGGUGCAUGGUUGUCGUCAGCUCGUGUCGUGAGAUGUUGGGUUAAGUCCCGCAACGAGCGCAACCCUUAUCGUUAGUUAUUUUGUCUAACGAGACUGCCAACGCAAGUUGGAGGAAGGUGGGGAUGACGUCAAAUCAUCAUGCCCCUUAUGUCUGGGGCCACAAACGUGCUACAAUGGUCGGUACAAACAGUCGCUAAUUCGUAAGAUAGAGCUAAUCUGUAAAGCCGAUCUCAGUUCGGAUAGAGGGCUGAAAUUCGCCCUCUUGAAGUUGGAAUCACUAGUAAUCGCGAAUCAGCCAUGUCGCGGUGAAUACGUUCUCGGGUCUUGUACACACCGCCCGU
rnacentral:rRNA from 1 species